rnacentral:rRNA from 1 species
GACAGAGGGUGCAAACGUUGUUCGGAAUUACUGGGCGUAAAGCGCGUGUAGGCGGCUUUGCAAGUCGGGUGUGAAAUCCCACGGCUCAACCGUGGAAGUGCACUCGAAACUGCAAGGCUAGAGUCCUGGAGAGGAAGGUGGAAUGCUUGGUGUAGAGGUGAAAUUCGUAGAUAUCAAGCGGAACACCAGUGGCGAAGGCGGCUCACUGGACUGGUAUUGACGCUGAGGUGCGAAAGCGUGGGGAGCAAACAGG